CUAAUUUCAGCUUGUCUUCUAACACUAAAUGGUGUCUUCAGACACCCGUGUGGUUUCAGCAGUAGGGUUUGGUUCUGGUUCCUCGGGAGCAGCCCCGAAGCCUCUGCACCGGCUCCGGGCCUCCUCCUCCUCCUCCUCCUGAGCAGUCACUGCCCUUUUCCCUCAAGGUCUGGCUUUCCUCAGGCACCUGGCAGGGCUGUGGCUGCUCCUGCCGUGCCCGUAUCAGUGCCACGUUCUGCAUUCAUUCCAGCCUCUUCGCAGCGCGCCUGUGGCUGUGGGAGCGCGGCCUCAGCCACACUCAGUGCCACCUCAGCGGGAUCAGGGAAAGACUUGUCUGAUUACUUAAUCCAAAGCCACAUCCUCCACUCGAUGGCUGCCAAAGUGAGCCACAGGCGAGAGUGCUGGUGUUACAACAAAAUAAGGCAGAGAUCUUUACUUAUUUGGAGCCACCUACUCUUGAGUCCAAUAAAACCAAGAAAUACGGAUACAGAAUAUGAGAAAAUCACAAAUCCCCAAGUCUGGCCCUUUCCAAAUUCCAUGGUGAGUGUGACGGUUUUAUUUUAUAUAUAGCUUCGUAGAAAUGGGAUCAUUUGAAGGAAAAUCUUGAGCAAUUCUUAUCUUUGUUCCAUUCUGGACUGACAUCAUAGUACGAAAACGCAAGGAAUGUACAGUAAAGCCUGGUGUGGGAAGAAGAUCUUGACAGAGGGAUGAUUAAUGGUGUCUGAAAGAGGGAAAACAGUUAUGUAAGAAAUACAGCCCAUGAGGCUGAAACUGAAGAAACCAUCACAGGUGCAGAUUGUAAACAGGCCCCAGAGGGAAGAACGUUGGUCUUUUAAAGGUGGACUCUGUAAACAAACAGACG
rnacentral:lncRNA from 1 species